CAGUGUGUAUGCUUUAUGAGUAAAUUUACUGUAAUUUCCUUUCAUCAGAUUUUGAGCAAAGAGAGAAAUUACACAAGAAAGCAAGUGAUAAAUAGUCUUUAUUUAGAGGGUUGGAUCCAUAAACACAAAUGUAUCCCACCAUCCCCAAACUCUACAAUAAAUGCCGUUGCUAAUAAUGAUGACUCUGACUCAAGCCAUUUUUCUCUUCAGGAAUGAUUACUCUCCUUUAUGGAUUCUGCUUCAUAAACCAAGAAAGAGACUAAAUCAUCUUCAGAAGAUUUUUUAAGAAUAAUUAAAAUAAAACUAUGGGAUUUGUGUUUCCUUUGUGUGCCUUAAGUUCAUGAGAAAAUUCAAUGGCCAGAACAUCCCAUUCUCUGAAUAUUAUAGAGUGUAUUAUUGUAUAGAGGUUUUUUUCAACCAAAGCAUUGCUGUAUGAAAGGCUUCAUUGAAUUUUAUGCUAUAUUCCUGUCCUGACAAGAAACUAUUAAUUGUCCAGCAGAAAAUGAAAGUAGAAAGGACAACACAGGAACAUAUGUGAGCUGUGCAUUCUCGCACAUAUAAACAAUUUAUUGAUUUCUGCUUUUUAAAAAUUAGAAUAUUGCUUAUUUUGAAAUAGAUGAAUUUGAUAGUAUAGGGAAUAAGAUUCUUCAUGUUCUAGUAUGUAAGUCAGAGUUUACAUAUAACAUUGCUAAUUAGAUUUGCUAACGGGACAGAAAAAAAAUCAA
rnacentral:lncRNA from 1 species